GUAUCCUUACCUGAAUACAUAGGGUAAGGAGGCGAACCGGGGGAACUGAAACAUCUAAGUACCCCGAGGAAAAGAAAUCAACCGAGAUUCCGAAAGUAGCGGCGAGCGAAAUUGGACUAGCCCUUAAGCUUUACACGCGUUAGACGAACGGUCUGGAAAGUCCGACGAUACAGGGUGAUAGUCCCGUAGUUGACGACGUGUGUUCAGUGAAAUCGAGUAGGGCGGGACACGUGAUAUCCUGUCUGAAUAUGGGGGGACCAUCCUCCAAGGCUAAAUACUACUGACUGACCGAUAGUGAACCAGUACCGUGAGGGAAAGGCGAAAAGAACCCCUGUGAGGGG
rnacentral:rRNA from 1 species